rnacentral:pre_miRNA from 1 species
UCUUACCUGAUGAGCAAAGAUAGGGGUUUCUUGAGAUGGAAACUACUCCCAGUGAAGAUGGUGUGAA